rnacentral:tRNA from 1 species
UCCCUGGCAGUCUAAUGGUUAGGACUCAGCACUUUGACUGCUAGGGCCCAGGUUCAAUUUUUGGUUGAGGAA